UUCAGAUUUCCAGUUUAUAGCGCUGAGUGAGCCAUACGCUAUAACUCACAGUGGUUUUAAGGAAUCCACAAAUGCAGACUCUGGAGAAGAGAACCUUAUGAAAGCCAGCUAGUUUCUGUGAAAAUGUCAUGGUUUGAUGAAACUGUGACACUGAAGACGCAGACCUUGACAGGGUUAUCCAGGUUUUGUCAUCUUGCGGAUGGAUUACUGCAGUGUACUCUGCAUAGGACUAUACUUGAAAUCCAUCCAGAGGGCGUAUCUAGAGCAAAAUGCAGGAUAUUAAGCAUUACAAGAGGUCAGAAAAUGGGGAAAGAGGCAGUUUCUGCUGAAAA